UCACCUACGGGAGGCAGCAGUGAGGAAUAUUGGUCAAUGGUCGGGAGACUGAACCAGCCAAGCCGCGUGAGGGAGGAAGGUACAGAGUAUCGUAAACCUCUUUUGUCAGGGAACAAAGGCGGGGACGUGUCCCCGGAUGAGUGUACCUGAAGAAAAAGCAUCGGCUAACUCCGUGCCAGCAGCCGCGGUAAUACGGAGGGUGCAAGCGUUGUCUGGAAUCAUUGGGCGUAAAGAGUUCGUAGGCGGUAUGUUUAGUCUGGUGUUAAAUGCAGAAGCUCAACUUCUGUU
rnacentral:rRNA from 1 species